rnacentral:rRNA from 1 species
CUAGGCCUGUGAAGGUGUCUGGUAACGGAUGCUGGAGGUAUCAGAAGUGCGAAUGCUGACAUGAGUAGCGUUAAAGGGGGUGAAAAGCCCCCUCGCCGUAAGCGCAAGGUUUUCUACGCAACGUUCAUCGGCGUAGAGUGAGUCGGCCCCUAAGGCGAGGCAGAGAUGCGUAGCUGAUGGGAAACAGGUCAAUAUUCCUGUACCGAUGUGUAGUGCGAUGUGGGGACGGAGAAGGUUAGCUCAGCCAACUGAUGGAUAUGUUGGUUCAAGCCUGUAGUCGUGCCCGGUAGGCAAAUCCGCCGGGCUUAGAUGAGGGGUGAUAACGAGGCUGCUUGCAGCCGAAGUGAGUGAUACCCUGCUUCCAGGAAAAGCCACUAAGCUUCAGCUACACACGACCGUACCGCAAACCGACACUGGUGCGCGAGAUGAGUAUUCUAAGGCGCUUGAGAGAACUCAGGAGAAGGAACUCGGCAAAUUGAUACCGUAACUUCGGGAGAAGGUAUGCCCCAAGUAGGUGAACCUGUACAAGGCGAGCCCAAAGGGGUUGCAAAAAAUCGGUGGCUGCGACUGUUUAAUAAAAACACAGCACUCUGCAAACACGAAAGUGGACGUAUAGGGUGUGACGCCUGCCCGGUGCUGGAAGAUUAAAUGAUGGGGUGCAAGCUCUUGACUGAAGUCCCAGUAAACGGCGGCCGUAACCAUAGCGGUCCUAAGGUAGCGAAAUUCCUUGUCGGGUAAGUUCCGACCUGCACGAAUGGCGUAACGAUGGCCACACUGUCUCCUCCUGAGACUCAGCGAAGUUGAAAUGUUUGUGAUGAUGCAAUCUCCCCGCGGAAAGACGGAAAGACCCCAUGAACCUUUACUGUAGCUUUGUAUUGGACUUUGAACAGAUCUGUGUAGGAUAGGUGGGAGGCUUUGAAGUGAGGUCGCUAGAUCUCAUAGAGCCAACGUUGAAAUACCACCCUGGUGUGUUUGAGGUUCUAACCUAGGUCCAUUAUCUGGAUCGGGGACAGUGCAUGGUAGGCAGUUUGACUGGGGCGGUCUCCUCCCAAAGCGUAACGGAGGAGUUCGAAGGUACGCUAGUUACGGUCGGACAUCGUGACGAUAGUGCAAUGGCAUAAGCGUGCUUAACUGCGAGACUGACAAGUCGAGCAGAUGCGAAAGCAGGACAUAGUGAUCCGGUGGUUCUGUAUGGAAGGGCCAUCGCUCAACGGAUAAAAGGUACUCUGGGGAUAACAGGCUGAUACCGCCCAAGAGUUCAUAUCGACGGCGGUGUUUGGCACCUCGAUGUCGGCUCAUCUCAUCCUGGGGCUGUAGCCGGUCCCAAGGGUAUGGCUGUUCGCCAUUUAAAGAGGUACGUGAGCUGGGUUUAAAACGUCGUGAGACAGUUUGGUCCCUAUCUUCCGUGGGCGCUGCAGAUUUGAGGAAGCCUGCUCCUAGUACC